rnacentral:lncRNA from 1 species
AAGACAUACAUGUUUCAUUUUUGUAAUUACAGCUUCAAUUUACCGUACACUUCUCGUAGACGUAGACUCUGCCGAUAAGAUUGAGUCGUGUUGAGAAAACCUGGCGUGCCCCAUCACUGCCCCAUCCACAAACCAUACAUACUCAUAGACGUUUCACGUAAAUUGUCAAGGUCAAGACAGCAAAUUAGUUACCAUUCCAAUCCAGAGAUGUCGCUGUCAGUCAAUUCUCUUGUCAUAUUUAACAACUGACAGUUUACAAUUAAAUUAAUUUGUUAAUUUACUUUUUAUUUUACAGUUUGUGGCUUAAUUAUUUUAUUAUAGUGGUGUUACGUUUUCAAUUAGAUUUAAUCACAAUUUUAAUCAAGUGUAUUAACCUCCUCUCCGUUUUUAUGAGUAGAAUUUUUAGUUUACAUUGAUCAUCCAGUGUUGUGUUUCUCCACAUUAAAAAAAACAAUAUAAUAGAUCCUGAAACAGUUUAUUCCAAUAGACAAGUGUGUCAUCAACAUUUCGGACCUAUAUAUUUUUGGAAGUUUGUAAAAGAUUAUAAGGUAAUAUUUAUCUAAACAAUCAUCCUACAAGAUUCUUUCAAAAAUUUUCAUUCAACUCGAUACACAUCAGUGCUUUCACGUGACACAUAGCAGUAGUGUUUAGCAUUUUGAAAACAAAUUGGAAUAUUUGAAGUUUUCAGUAAAAUAUGGAAUAAAACAUUGAAUUGUCUUUCUGUUGUUUUAAUUUCCUGCGAAAUUUCAUCAAAAAUCCCGCAAAAUUUAUAAUUUGAAAUUCUCACGUAACUAAAAUUUGUCAAUUUAGUUCCCAUUCCAAUCAAGAGAUGGCGUUAAUUCGAUCCGAAAGAUUAACAUGGUCGUGAAACGUCUAUGAGUAUGUAUGGUUUGUGGCCCCAUCCCUUUUCCUUGGAGAAAGAUUGGAGCAAUGGCUAAAAGUGCAACUAGUCGACACGAGAGGGCAGAGUUGAAUUUUACUUCGGAAUUUGAGUGAAGGAAGAAUCUACCAUAGAGGUAUAUAUUAACAUAGAGUGAGCCCUCACUCCGCCACCACUGACGACAAGAUCUCUUCGACUGGUUUGCGGUAUCUCUUUCUAGCACAAUGUAUCGAGAAACAUAACAUGAAACUAAGUGGGGGUACGGGACGGCAAGUGAAAUAAGGAGAAUUACUUUAUUCUUCUUUUUUCUUUAAUUAUUAUGACAAGUGACAAGACAACAUAACCCAAAUAAUUUAAUCCGGCCCUAUUUCUAUUUUUGAACAAAAUGUUGGAAAUAUCUUAGUUUAUUUUUAGUUCUAGCUUAUUUAUGGCUAGAUUGAAAAUCUGAAUUUUCUAAUAUUGGUUCAUGAUUAUCAUCAGGGACUUGAUUCGGUUCUUAAACAGGAUCUCUUUUAGUCCCAAUCACUGCAGCAGUGGAGCUAUGUUUUUAUUUUCACGGUGCUAGUAGAUGGCGAAUAAAUCGUUUAAUUUUCAAUAUUUUUUUAUGAAAAUUGUUUCACAUGUACUUUUUAUAACAAAUGUUCAGUAGUAAUAACCAGAGGACAUUGAUAAUUGUUCGAAAAAUUUUUAUAACAGAUUUCGAAAGCUUGUUCCUUGGAAACAGACCGACGCCGUAGGCGGAGGUCUGUUGCCUGUAAGCAACAAGCUUGAGAAAGUUGUUAAAAAAUUUUUGAGCAUUUAUCAAUGUUCGAGGGUUAUUCGGAUAGAAAAUUUUUUGCUGAUAUAAAAUUAAUAAUAAUUUCAUUAAUAUUCUCAUCAGUAUUACAACCAAAUCGUGACAUUUUGAAAUAUUGAAUAUUUGAAAUGUCAAAAUUGAAAUGAAACGAAAUGUAGGUAUCCAUAGCUACAUGAUUGACUGAAAACAGCCCAUGGGAUCUGUUUUCAGUAUAAUGUUGGUUUUAUUGGUUGUAUUCAAUCAGAUGACCACAAAUUAAUUGAUUUCAUUGGAUUUCUAAUUGAGCAAAAAAUUUUCAAAAUAAUUGGUACAGUACUUUUUAUUUUAGAAAUUCCCAAAAAAGUAUAUGAAUUUCAUACUUUUACACUAGGAUAGCCCCUUAAGAAAGGUAAAUUUCUAGAGCUGCCUAAAGACAGCCAUCAUUAUUCCUCUUCAUAAGGGUGGUGAAAAAUCUAAUGCCUGCAAUUAUAGACCUAUUGCAUUACUACUGGUACUAUCAAAUAGGACUCAUAUUACACAAGUAUAAAAACUUGUUGCUGGUAUGAGCACAUUGUGUAAAUGUUAGGAUUUAAAGAGGAUAUAAAAACCUUCAAUACAAUUAUGAGCGUUAGUCUCUUUAUAUCCUAACAUUUUUUUUGUUAUUGUUUUAGUUUAUUAUUGUUUUUUAUGACUCUGUAAGUUUUGUGUAUAAAUUCUACAAUUUUCCAUGACAAUAAAGCAUUUUUCUAUUCUAAGUUGUCUAUUUGUUAAACCAAAGCAUUGAUUAUUAUUACAAAAUAUUAAUAUAAUCAAUUAAAUAAUAAUAUUAAUCUCACAAACAAUAUAGGAAGUAUAGUUAAAAAGAAUAAACAUAGUAAUCCACAAGGAAAUAAAUCUGCACAUAGCUAUAGCCCAAAGUAACUUCUGUUGUUUAUCCAAAUCUUCAAUAGUCAAAAACAUUUGUGUAAAAUUAGAUUCCAGCAGUUUCUCCUUUUCCUACAUUUAAAAUAGCUGGUGUUUAUUCCUAAAAACAACAAAUACAUAAAUAAAAACUCUAAAUUGUAUACCAUAAAAAAAUCAUACAAAUAUGACAAAAUAUCACAAGAGUAUUUUAACAUUAUUUAAGGACAAUUGCCAUAAUAAGCCACAACAAAAAUGUAUUAAGCGAAAAAGCUAUAGAGCUGAAACAGGAAGUUGCUAUGUUUGGUCUAUAUAUUAAUGAAAGUAAAAAAAAAUACCUAAAUGGAAUAUAACAAUGGGUCUUAUCGGUAAUAAGAAGUGUUUUUAUGCAUACAAAGACGUAAUGAAAAGUAAGUUACUGUUACUGAAUCGUGAGUAUAAGCUUAGAAUCUACAAAACAGUAAUUACACCAGUGGUCACAUAUGGAUGUGAAAUGUGGACCAUCUCAACCACUAAUGAAAAUCAACUGAGAAUAUUUGAGCGUAAAAUACUAAGGAACAUAUUUGGACCAACACAUUGUAAAGAUGGUUCAUGGAUAAUUAAAAUGAACCACAAGCUGAAUGAACUAAUGCAGAGCACAGAUAUUGUUAGAUUUGUAAAGUGUCAAAGACUAAACUUUCUUGGUCGCUUAGCAAAAAUGUCAGAUAAUCGAGCUGUGAUGUCAGAGAUGGAAGCCCCAAGGAAAUAUAACAAGAGGAAGGCCCUGUAACAGAUGGAUAGACGAUGUAGAGAAGGAUCUUAAAACCAUAAAUAUCAGGCAGUGGUGCAGGAAAGUAGCAACAGGGCAGAAUAGAAGAAUGCUGUUAAGCAGGCAAAGAUUUACAAAUGGUUGUAGUGUCAUUAGAAGAAGAAGAUUUAAGGACAGUUUAGGCAGGCUAUAUGCAUUAAGGCAUUAUUAAGCUUUGCAUUUAACCAUAUUGUAAUACACUAUAUCUUACAUGGUCAA